rnacentral:lncRNA from 1 species
GUUUAAUCAAAAAAAAUUUUUGUCCAUUGAUGCAGUCUUUCAGACAAGAUUUUGUCACUUUCAACCAAUCAGAACAAUAUCAUCUUAGAAAACAACCCAGCAUUCAUUGCAUAAAAAUUCAGUUCCGGUUUCAGUUUUGAUUUUUUAUUUUUCUCUGUGUGAUUAAAUUGAUGGAAAAUAAUAAUUAAUACAUUAUGGAUCCUUGUGAAACAGUUUUAGUUGGAGAAGGUAACAUAGGAAGUAGAAAGAAAAGUUCUAGCUUAACAGCAAGACAAGCUGAGAAAAGAAAGAAGUAUGUGAAAUGUGCUGGACACAACAUCUUCAUUCCAUGUAGACAUGAAAACAAACGAUUUCAUUGCAUAAGGUUCAGACCUUCAGAUUGCUCCUUCAUAAGAGAAAACUUACUAUCAAUCCCUGAUAAGAUUUCACAAGAUAAUUAUAUUGUAUCCAAACUUACCAUUGAAUCAAUACACAGAAGAUGACCUCGACAGGCAGUAAAUAAACAACCACAUGCGUAUAGCCUAAAAUUUGUUUUACCCAC